rnacentral:rRNA from 1 species
AUUGAACGCUGGCGGCAGGCCUAACACAUGCAAGUCGAGCGGAUGAAGGGAGCUUGCUCCUGGAUUCAGCGGCGGACGGGUGAGUAAUGCCUAGGAAUCUGCCUGGUAGUGGGGGAUAACGUCCGGAAACGGGCGCUAAUACCGCAUACGUCCUGAGGGUGAACGUGGGGGAUCUUCGGACCUCACGCUAUCAGAUGAGCCUAGGUCGGAUUAGCUAGCUGGUGGGGUAAAGGCCUACCAAGGCGACGUUCCGUAACUGGUCUGCGAGGAUGAUCAGUCACACUGGAACUGAGACACGGUCCAGACUCCUACGGGAGGCAGCAGUGGGGAAUAUUGGACAAUGGGCGAAAGCCUGAUCCAGCCAUGCCGCGUGUGUGAAGAAGGUCUUCGGAUUGUAAAGCACUUUAAGUUGGGAGGAAGGGCAGUAAGUUAAUACCUUGCUGUUUUGACGUUACCAAAAGAAUAAGCACCGGCUAACUUCGUG